CAGCGGUCACUCAGUGGUCACUCAGUGGUCACUCAGUGGUCACUCUGGUCACUCGGGCAGGUCGAUGGUCACUCAGCGGUCACUCAGCGGUCACUCAGUGGUCACUCAGUGGUCACUCAGUGGUCACUCGGGCAGGUCGAUGGUCACUCACUGGUCACUCUGGUCACUCGGGCAGGUCGAUGGUCACUCAGUGGUCACUCAGCGGUCACUCAGCGGUCACUCAGUGGUCACUCAGCGGUCACUCUGUGGUCACUCGGGCAGGUCGAUGGUCACUCAGCGGUCACUCUGGUCACUCAGCGGUCACUCGGGCAGGUCGAUGGUCACUCAGCGGUCACUCAGUGGUCACUCAGUGGUCACUCAGUGGUCACUCAGCGGUCACUCAGCGGUCACUCAGUGGUCACUCGGGCAGGUCGAUGGUCACUCAGUGGUCACUCAGCGGUCACUCUGCGGUCACUCAGCGGUCACUCAGCGGUCACUCAGUGGUCACUCAGCGGUCACUCGGGCAGGUCGAUGACCAGCUCGUCGUCCCCGUCCAGGGGGUCAUCGCUGCCCUCCCCCUCCCCCUCGC